rnacentral:rRNA from 1 species
UAUCGACCCCUCCCGUGCCGAAGCUAACGCGAUAAGUAUCCCGCCUGGGGAGUACGGCCGCAAGGCUAAAACUCAAAGGAAUUGACGGGGACCCGCACAAGCAGCGGAGCGUGUGGUUUAAUUCGAUGAUAAGCGAAGAACCUUACCAGGGCUUGACAUGUAUUUGAAAGCNUUNGAAAGUUGGUCGUCCUUCGGGACAAUUACACAGAUGUUGCAUGGCUGUCGUCAGCUCGUGCCGUGAGGUGUUGGGUUAAGUCCCGCAACGAGCGCAACCCUUGUCGUUAGUUACUAUGUCUAGCGAGACUGCCCCUAUUAAGGCGGAGGAAGGUGGGGACGACGUCAAGUCGGCAUGGCUCUUACGCCCUGGGCUACACACACGCUACAAUGGCCGGUACAGAGGGUCGCGAAGGAGCGAUCUGGAGCUAAUCCCACAAAACCGGUCCCAGUUGGAAUUGCAGGNUGCAACCCGCCUGCAUGAGCGCGGAGUUGCUAGUAACCGCAGGUCAGCACACUGCGGUGAAUACGUUCUCGGGUCUUGUACACACCGCCCGUCACGUCAUGGAAGUCGGUAACACUUGAAGUCGCUGGGCCAACCCCUUGUGGGAGGCAGGUGCCGAGGGUGGGACUGGUGACUGGGACGAAGUCGUAACAAGGUAACCAAGGGCGAA